rnacentral:rRNA from 1 species
GUCUAUAGCCAUACCACCUUGAACUCAUGUAGCCUCAUCUGAUCUCGGAAGCUAAGCAGGGUCAGGGCUCGUUUGUAGUUGGAUGAGAGACAGGCUGGGAAUAUCAGGUGCUGUAGGCU